rfam:Rattus norvegicus chromosome 14, whole genome shotgun sequence.
GGGGAUUUAGCUCAGCGGUAGAGCGCUUGCCUAGCAAGCACAAGGCCCUGGGUUCGGUUCCCAGCUCCG